UUGUAGUGGAUGUUGAUGAUAGUUGAUCCACUAUAGAUGUAGGGUAUAUAUCAAGAUGGAAUCUAUCGAUCUUGAUAGAAAGGAGUAAUCCUAUGAGAUUUGAGAGGCUAAGUCUGAGAGUCUGUGGCUACAACAGUGUGAUUGAUGAAAAAGAGUUUCCAUAAGGAUCAUAAUUGGAUUUGAGCUAAUCGAAUCUAUCAUAUGACUGAUGAUGAGGUUUGACGAUUUUCCAUGACCUGCCAUCUAGUCGAAACUCAUG
rnacentral:lncRNA from 1 species